GACGAACGCUGGCGGCGUGCUUAACACAUGCAAGUCGAACGAAAAGAGGGAAAGAGCUUGCUCUUUCCGGAAUUGAGUGGCAAACGGGUGAGUAACACGUAAACAACCUGCCUUCAGGAGGGGGACAACAGACGGAAACGACUGCUAAUACCGAAUAAGUUCCAAGGGCCGCAUGGCCCAUGGAAGAAAAGGUGGCCUCUACCUGUCAGCUAGCGCCUGACGAGGGGUUUGCGUCUGAUUAGCUGGUUGGGGGGGUAACGGCCCACCAAGGCGACGAUCAGUAGCCGGUCUGGGGGGAUGAACGGCCACACUGGAAUUGAGACACGGUCCAGACUCCUACGGGAGGCAGCAGGGGGGAAUCUUCCGCAAUGGGCGAAAGCCUGACGGAGCAACGCCGGGUGAGAGAUGACGGCCUUCGGGUUGUAAAACUCUGUGAUCCGGGACGAAAAGGCAGAGUGCGAAGAACAAACUGCAUUGACGUUACCGGAAAAGCAAGCAACGGCUAACUACGUG
rnacentral:rRNA from 1 species